rnacentral:misc_RNA from 1 species
AAGUCGUAACAAGGUUUCCGUAGGUGAACCUGCGGAAGGAUCAUUAACACGUACUCCGGUACAAACCUCAACCGUGAAUUGUAGCUUCUCCCUGUCUAUACCAAUGGUGUCCGAUGACGGUAGUAAGGGUCAUCGUUGAUGCACGGACUGGUGACGCCGCCUAAAACCCGGCUAGCCCUCCACGCUGGUAUUCAGGCUGUCCCUUUACUGAUCUUUUACGAUCUCACCCAUGUAACUUUGGACUGAUUAAAGCCUAGCGUGUCUAACGACCCAGGUGAAUUAUUUUAAACCUAGCACAACUCUUAGGAAUGGAUAUCUAGGUUCUC